rnacentral:lncRNA from 1 species
GAUGUUUAUUUCCUACAACAGAAAAUUUUACUAUAAUUCUUAAUAUUAUGAUCAAGGUUCUGUUUGAAAUUCCUGCAUACUGGGAAAAUCCAGUAGCAUCUGUGACAUAGAAGUUAAGAAUCAACCUAAAGGUUCCUAGUCAUAAUUCAUCCUGUCCUUAAAUUUCUCCUUGCCUCUACUACAUCCUUACUUUUCCUCUGAAAUUCACAAAUGGCACCUCGCUCAGGGUGGAAUUCCAAGCCGACAGCAACCUAUUAUCAUGAGAUGUUGCCUCAUCCCUUAAAGGGCAAAUAG